CAUUCCUGGAAGCCCGUGAGACCAGGAACCCUUCGAUCGAGAAAAGACCUUCCAUUGGGAGAAGACUUCUCGUCUUAUUUCCACCUAUAAUCUCUUCAAAACAUAGCAGUCAGAGUUACCUGCUGAACUCAUAAGUCACUCAUCUGCUCAAAGCCUCCCAGUGGCUUCUCAUCUCACAGGAUCCAAGUCGACCUUCCUGGAGCCUCUAUCCACUACUUGUUUUGCUCAACAAGAACACACAUCGUGUUGACUCCAUCUUUUAUAUGAUGCCUCACCACAAUGUUCCAUUGGCCAGUGCAAGAGAAACCAGGAUGCUUCCUCAUACUGCACAUCUUUAUCUGAGAACCAAAGGACAAAUAUGGGUGUCACAUGCCAGCUCCUUCUACCUCCUUCUGAAACCAGAGGACUGGAUUGGAACCAACAGAGAUCAUGCUGUUUACUUCACAGAUUUCAAGAAAAGUGAAUUCUGAGUAAUCAUUUUUUUUUAGAUCUUCCUAUGUGUAAAAAUCUUUGGUGAGAUUUACCAUCUCAUUUAAAGUUCUUUCACAAUUUUUGUGAAAAUUGAGUGAUGUGUAAUAAAUAAGUUAUUUUUUUUCUUUAUAGCUGAUGCUUGACCUUUUUUCCCUUGGUAAUAUAGCUUACGAAGCAGAUAUAUAUGCCAAUACACCCUUGAUUUUAAGUCUUUCAAAUAGAAGAACAUA
rnacentral:lncRNA from 10 species